ensembl:snoRNA LOC120093428 small nucleolar RNA SNORA48
CUCCCCUGGCAAUGGGAAAAGAGAUACCUUAUUGUUGGUGUUGUUCUUGUAUCAUCCAGGGACAGAGCAGACAGAUGCCAGUCCUUUGUUCAUCCUAGUUUGAUGCAUGGUUUGGUGGCCAAGGCUGUUUUAUGCCUAGGACAUAUGA